AUUCAUACGAAUCCUCCCGAAGCUCUAUAACCCAGGCCAUUCGUGUGUUUUGUUCACUUUUCUGUGACCGACCGCAGGGCCAAAAUACAUGGAACUAUUUUCGGAUACUUUUGCCAUGCGGUCGGUCAAAACUUUAAAGUCCCAUAACUCCCGAACCCUUUAUCCGAAUGGGCUGAUUUUCACAUAUGUUGUUCCUCCAGACUAGGGCUAUCUUGAGAUACUGGAUUUGUGGAUGUACCCCAAGUAUUUGGGGUACAUCCAAAACUCGGGGAAAACUAUGUACAUGUUAAUUAUGUUAACUGGUUAUCUGAGGGGAGGGAAUCUGUGGGUUGUAACCAUUAUGCUAUUGGUAUACUGUAAAUCCCUCCCUUGCAUGGGAGAAUCCUUUAUAAGCCUGUUGUGUGAAU